UUGGUCAUUUAGAGGAAGUAAAAGUCGUAACAAGGUUUCCGUAGGUGAACCUGCGGAAGGAUCAUUACCUAGAGUUUGUAGACUUCGGUCUGCUACCUCUUACCCAUGUCUUUUGAGUACCUUCGUUUCCUCGGCGGGUCCGCCCGCCGAUUGGACAACAUUCAAACCCUUUGCAGUUGCAAUCAGCGUCUGAAAAAACAUAAUAGUUACAACUUUCAACAACGGAUCUCUUGGUUCUGGCAUCGAUGAAGAACGCAGCGAAAUGCGAUAAGUAGUGUGAAUUGCAGAAUUCAGUGAAUCAUCGAAUCUUUGAACGCACAUUGCGCCCCUUGGUAUUCCAUGGGGCAUGCCUGUUCGAGCGUCAUUUGUACCUUCAAGCUCUGCUUGGUGUUGGGUGUUUUGUCUCGCCUCUGCGUGUAGACUCGCCUUAAAACAAUUGGCAGCCGGCGUAUUGAUUUCGGAGCGCAGUACAUCUCGCGCUUUGCACUCAUAACGGCGACGUCCAAAAGUACAUUUUUACACUCUUGACCUCGGAUCAGGUAGGGAUACCCGCUGAACUUAAGCAUAUCAAUAAGCGGAGGA
rnacentral:rRNA from 1 species